rnacentral:rRNA from 1 species
AGAAUCAACGCUGGCGGCGUGCCUAACACAUGCAAGUCGAACGAGAAAGUGGGAGCAAUCUCACGAGUAAAGUGGCGCACGGGUGAGUAACACGUGACUAACCUACCCUUGAGUGGGGGAUAACCUAGGGAACCUGGGCUAAUACCGCAUAAUACCUACGGGUCAAAGGAGCAAUUCGCUUAAGGAGGGGGUCGCGGCAGAUUAGUUAGUUGGCGGGGUAAUGGCCCACCAAGACAGUGAUCUGUA